ACUUCACCCAAAUCGGCACGCCUAUGCACGGGCUCAGUCUGUGGUCAGGAGAAAAAAGGGUGCUGCGUCUGGCCACUUGGUGGCGCUGCAAGCUGAAAAAAAGGGAAAACGAAAUGAAACUGCACAACCAAACAGACAUGAAAACAGCUACAGCUCGGCAGCAGUCAGUCCGAUCGACUUGAAAAGUGAGGUCUGACCACCAGGGGCCGGUUUUUCAAGAGCGCAAGUGACUCUUUUUUUUUUUUUUUUUUUUCUCACACAUGCGCAACCCAUAUCAAGCAUAGGACGGAAGUCCUCAUUCUGAACAGCUCUCUGGAUCAUUGAGAAGCCGAAAAGUAAGCGAGAACAAACGCUUUGUAUAAAAAAAAAAUCGGGUGAAAAAACCCAUCUGCUUUUUUCAACCAGCACUUUCAGGGGAGAGCGCGAACGCAGUCCCCCACUACCAUAAAUUACGCAGUCGAGAUUCCCACAUUUGGGGAAUUCGCAGGGGUCAGCACGGCCGGAGUGCAAUGGACGAGCCUCGCCCUGGGUGAACCGCCUUCUUGAUCAUGGUGUCUCCCCUGCCAGGUAAGUAUGAAGGCCCAGGCGGCCAGUCAGAGGUACCAUUUCCGUCUCUACCGUCCUCAUCAACGGUGAACCCCCGCCCCUAGCAAAGGAAGGACGGCUGCCUUCCGUUACGGGCCUGCAAACUGCCAAGCGUUGGCACGAGCCGGCAAUUCCCAACCCUGGUUUUAGAUCAGUGUUUCCCAACCGCAUUCCUGGAGGCCCCCCAACACUGCAUGAAUGUGUUCUAUGUCACCUUAAUCAAACACACCUGAUUCAGAUCAUCAGCUCAUUAGUAGAGACUCGAAGAUCUGAAUCGGGUGUCUCAGACAAAGGGUCUCAUCUGUUUUAGAUGACUCCCUUUAACCAAACACACCUGAUUCGAUGCAUCAGCUCGUUAGUGAAAGACUCCAAGACCUCAGGUGGAUGCAUCCGAGGAGAACUCUCAAUAAAACAGCAACCACGGCAUCUGCAAGAGCAGACCUCAGGGGGAGCCAGGACAAAGCCCUCAUUCCUUUUUCUGUUAUUCAUCACAAUAAGCAGCAAUCCCUGAAAAGGGAACCACACCGUUCCUGGAGACACUGCAAUACCAGGCCGAUGCGUGGAGUGGACAGAGCAAGCCCCGGCUCCAGCUCCGUGAUCCAAAAAUCAAUUUAAUAUGUAGUCCCCGGGUAGGGGACGUAUCAGAUAUUAAACUGAUAAGAACAGAUUUUUUUUUUUUUUGGUUUUAUUGAUAUUUAAUCAAAAGUGGAACCACUGUACAUCAAGUAGUAGAUAAAAUAAAACAUAAAUGUACAUCUGCAGGUAAAAAAUAAAAUAAAAUAAUUCCAAUGACGGUUAACACACCACUAACAUCAUGCAUCUCUAAAACACACCCUAUACAGACAAAGCACUUGAAAUGAUCUUGUAAAAGUAUGUAAUCUUUAAAAUCUUAAAGAAGAUCAUAAAGUUACAAAUGGUUAAAUUUUUCUUUUACAUCCAUUUUUAUUUUCCCUUAAAAGUGCUUCCAAUGUGUUUUAAAAGCCAAAAUAAAACCAUGUAAAAAAGGGUGUGUAGUCCUCAAUAAAAAAAAAAAAUUUCUCCAUUGUGCUUGAUCAGGGAGGUGAGCCUUCCAUUUGGGCCCACUCCUACUCUUCAACCCCAGACAAUCAGACCCAGCUUCAGUGGCCCAGAGGAGAUCCGUACCCUCUGGCCCGCUGCUCCCGUAGCCGAAAGUGGUGAGGGUACAUUUACGGGCGACCAGGGUCGGUGGCGGCCGGGACCCUCUCUGUGGCAACCC
rnacentral:lncRNA from 12 species